rnacentral:rRNA from 1 species
CUUGCUUCUCUUGAGAGCGGCGGACGGGUGAGUAAUGCCUAGGAAUCUGCCUGGUAGUGGGGGAUAACGUUCGGAAACGGACGCUAAUACCGCAUACGUCCUACGGGAGAAAGCAGGGGACCUUCGGGCCUUGCGCUAUCAGAUGAGCCUAGGUCGGAUUAGCUAGUUGGUGGGGUAAUGGCUCACCAAGGCGACGAUCCGUAACUGGUCUGAGAGGGUGAUCAGUCACACUGGAACUGAGACACGGUCCAGACUCCUACGGGAGGCAGCAGUGGGGAAUAUUGGACAAUGGGCGAAAGCCUGAUCCAGCCAUGCCGCGUGUGUGAAGAAGGUCUUCGGAUUGUAAAGCACUUUAAGUUGGGAGGAAGGGUUGUAGAUUAAUACUCUGCAAUUUUGACGUUACCGACAGAAUAAGCACCGGCUAACUCUGUGCCAGCAGCCGCGGUAAUACAGAGGGUGCAAGCGUUAAUCGGAAUUACUGGGCGUAAAGCGCGCGUAGGUGGUUUGAUAAGUUGGAU